CCUACGGGAGGCAGCAGUGGGGAAUUUUGGACAAUGGGGGCAACCCUGAUCCAGCCAUUCCGCGUGUGCGAUGAAGGCCUUCGGGUUGUAAAGCACUUUUGGCAGGAAAGAAAUCGCACGGGUUAAUAACCCGUGUGGAUGACGGUACCUGCAGAAUAAGCACCGGCUAACUACGUGCCAGCAGCCGCGGUAAUACGUAGGGUGCAAGCGUUAAUCGGAAUUACUGGGCGUAAAGCGUGCGCAGGCGGUUCGGAAAGAAAGGUGUGAAAUCCCAGGGCUUAACCUUGGAACUGCACUUUUAACUCCCGAGCUAGAGUAUGUCAGAGGGGGUGGAAUUCCGCGUGUAGCAGUGAAAUGCGUAGAUAUGCGGAGGAACACCAAUGGCGAAGGCAGCCCCCUGGGAUGAUACUGACGCUCAUGCACGAAAGCGUGGGGAGCAAACAGGAUUAGAUACCCUGGUAGUCCACGCCCUAAACGAUGUCAACUAGCUGUUGGGGCUUCGGCCCUUAGUAGCGCAGCUACGCGUGUAGUGACCGCCGUGGGAGGUACGGUCGCGAGAAGUAAACUACGUUAAAGAAGUAGUUAGGCGUGAGAGNGCGAGGACGACGACGAGGGAGGAGG
rnacentral:rRNA from 1 species